UGUGUCAGCCCAACACCGGCCCGUCAGCCUCUCCACACCGCGCGCUAGUGUUGCCUUAAGUCACCGGUGGUUGGGGCCCACCUUUCGGGUCCCUCCCCUUCGUCAUCUCCGAACCGGUGUGAGCACCAAAAACUCCAUGGAUCUCGCAUAACAAACACCGUAGCUGCCUUCGCUUGCAGGCUCCUCUCGCGGCCAUAUAAGCCGACUCCCCUCUGCAGUCUCCCUCGCGUCCGGGUUCCGUGAACCACCCCGAGGCCAGUAGUUGAAAGCUCUGUCUACAUCACCGGGCGAGCGUAUAGAAAGGUAGGAGCCCGUCAUUGGAGGAACUUCGAUUUGCCAUCCUUGAUGCACCUGGGGCGGGCCAGGGAGAUGCGCCUAGCAUCUGGGAGGGUUCUCUUGGGAUUCGCUUAUGAAGAGCUCGAUCAGUUUCUGAACGGUGCAAUGGCUCCAUCGCGUGCCGCACCGUGCCGUGGGUGGCUCUCCAGACAUCGUAUCUGUCUCCGGUCAAGAACAUGUAUCGAUAAGACGAGGAGCAUGAAGGAUGCCAUGAUGAGUUCGUGAGAGGUCUAGGCCAUCGUCUCCCAGUCAACUAUGGUUGUGGAGGAUCGUUGUCUCCAUAUGUUGUAAUUAUAUAACUAUUUUGAACAGAACUCCUAUUAUAUAGUAAAGAUGUGAUAUCCGUUUCUGUA